GUCCACGCAGUAAACGAUGAGAACUAGAUGUUAGGGUGCUAGUCACCUUAGUAUCGCAGCUAACGCAAUAAGUUCUCCGCCUGGGGAGUACGGUCGCAAGAUUAAAACUCAAAGGAAUUGACGGGGGCCCGCACAAGCGGUGGAGCAUGUGGUUUAAUUCGAUGCAACGCGAAGAACCUUACCUACUUUUGAAUCCACGGAACCUUGCAGAAAUGUGAGGGUGCCUUCGGGAACCGUGAGACAGGUGCUGCAUGGCUGUCGU
rnacentral:rRNA from 1 species